rnacentral:rRNA from 1 species
UACGUAGGCGGCAAGCGUUGUCCGGAGUUACUGGGCGUAAAGAGCGCGCAGGCGGUUGUUUAAGUUGGGUGUGAAAGCCCCCGGCUCAACUGGGGAGGGUCACUCGAUACUGAUCGACUCGAAGGCAGGAGAGGGAAGUGGAAUUCCCGGUGUAGUGGUGAAAUGCGUAGAUAUCGGGAGGAACACCAGUGGCGAAGGCGACUUCCUGGCCUGUUCUUGACGCUGAGGCGCGAAAGCUAGGGGAGCAAACGGG